CGCUUUUGCUUGAUCACUAUUACGUGGAGUAGGAAUUUGAUGGGUCAAGGCCUAAGUGUUGGAAUGGAUGAUUCCGCUAAUCACUGUUUAUGCAAGGUUGAUAUUAAACCCUGGUUGUUCUCGAAAAGAAAAGGGUCCAAGAGUUUAGAAGCAUAUUCUUGUAAAAUUGAUAUAUAUUGGGACCUUUCAUCGGCUAAAUUUGGAUCUGGGCCUGAACCGU
rnacentral:misc_RNA from 1 species